rnacentral:rRNA from 1 species
CACGUAGGGGGCAAGCGUUGUCCGGAUUUAUUGGGCGUAAAGAGCUCGUAGGUGGUUCGGUAAGUCGGGUGUGAAACCUCCAGGCUCAACCUGGAGACGCCACCCGAUACUGCUGUGACUGGAGUCCGGUAGGGGAGCGUGGAAUUCCUGGUGUAGCGGUGAAAUGCGCAGAUAUCAGGAGGAACACCAGCGGCGAAGGCGGCGCUCUGGGCCGGUACUGACACUGAGGAGCGAAAGCGUGGGGAGCGAUCCGG